AGAGUUUGAUCAUGGCUCAGGACGAACGCUGGCGGCGUGCUUAACACAUGCAAGUCGAACGGUGACCUCGGAGCUUGCUCCGGGUGAUCAGUGGCGAACGGGUGAGUAACACGUGAGUAACCUGCCCCAGACUCUGGGAUAACCCCGGGAAACCGGAGCUAAUACCGGAUACGACACGAAGAGGCAUCUCUAUCGUGUGGAAAGUUUUUCGGUCUGGGAUGGACUCGCGGCCUAUCAGCUAGUUGGUGAGGUAACGGCUCACCAAGGCGACGACGGGUAGCCGGCCUGAGAGGGCGACCGGCCACACUGGGACUGAGACACGGCCCAGACUCCUACGGGAGGCAGCAGUGGGGAAUAUUGCACAAUGGGCGAAAGCCUGAUGCAGCGACGCCGCGUGGGGGAUGACGGCCUUCGGGUUGUAAACCCCUUUCAGCAGGGAAGAAGCGAAAGUGACGGUACCUGCAGAAGAAGCACCGGCUAACUACGUGCCAGCAGCCGCGGUAAUACGUAGGGUGCGAGCGUUGUCCGGAAUUAUUGGGCGUAAAGAGCUUGUAGGCGGUCUGUCGCGUCUGCUGUGAAAAUCCGGGGCUCAACCCCGGACUUGCAGUGGGUACGGGCAGACUAGAGUGUGGUAGGGGAGACUGGAAUUCCUGGUGUAGCGGUGAAAUGCGCAGAUAUCAGGAGGAACACCGAUGGCGAAGGCAGGUCUCUGGGCCACUACUGACGCUGAGAAGCGAAAGCAUGGGGAGCGAACAGGAUUAGAUACCCUAGUAGUCC
rnacentral:rRNA from 1 species